GAUGAACGCUGGCGGGAGGCUUAACACAUGCAAGCCGAACGGUAGAGUUUCUUCGGAAACUUGAUAGCGUCGCACGGGGGCGUAACACGUGUGCAACCUACCUUUAUCUGGGUGGUAGCCUUUCGAAAGGAAGAGUAAUACCCCAUAAUAUAAUUAUUGGCAUCAAUUAUUAUUUAGAACUCCGGUGGAUAGAGAUGGGCACGCGCAAGAUUAGAUAGUUGGUGAGGUAACGGCUCACAAAGUCAAUGAUACUUAGGGGUCCUGAGAGGGAGAUCCCCCACACUGGUACUGCGACACGGACCAGACUACUACGCGCGGAAGCCGUCAGGAGGAUUCGACAAUGGGCGAGAGACUGAUCCAGCCAUCCCGAGUGAAGGACGACGGUCGUAUGGAUUGUAACCUUCUUUUGUAAAGGGCUAACCCUAACCUCGUGAGGGUAGCUGAAGGUACUGUACGAAUAAGCACCGGCUAACUACGUG
rnacentral:rRNA from 1 species